UAAAGUGCACCAGCUAAACAAAGUGACGAGUGACAAGUGAAAGUGACACAGUGAAUGAAUGAACAUGGGAGUCAGAGUCAGUCAGAGGGGGCCCGGGCUCUGUUGAUGAGCCCGACUGCCGAAGGGAAGAAACUGUUCGUGUGGCGGGAGGUCUUAGUCCUGAUGGACCUCAGCCUCCUGCCGGAUGGAAGGGGCACAAACAGUUCAUGUCCAGGGUGGGAGGGGUCGGCUACAAAGUCCUGGCAGCAAACAAGUCCUGGAGAGACGGAAGAUUGCAUCCAAUCACCCUGUCUGCAGAGUGGAUGACACGCUGCAGCCUGCCCUUGUCCUUGGCUGUGGCUGCAGCGUAUCCCACGGUGAUGGAGGAGCAGAGGAUGGACUCGAUGAUGGCCACGUAGAAGUGCACCAUCAUCGUCUUUGGCAGGUGGAAUUUCUUCAGCUGCCUCAGGAAGAACAUCCUCUGCUGAGCCCUGAGUACCAUCUAUAGCCUGAGGUUGUGUAUCAGUGGUGUGUAGUCAGAAGAACGUCCUCUAAACAUUUAAUUUGUUGUUACAAGCUCAUCCCUUAAAGUUCUUAAAUGAGUAUUAACUGCCCGUGUGCUUCUCCUUGGAAGCAACUCUUGACAAUCUGUCGCAUUUCACAAGACGCGUCACUCGCUUGGGUUCAGAUUAUGUCAAAGCCCCCCCCACCCCCCCUUUUUUUUCCACUUCUUCUUGAAGGCAUCCAUGACCCCAGUGGGCCACUCGCUGAAUCUUAAAAGGGGUUACAUGAUGUCUUUCUUUUCUUCCACUUGUCUCAUAGUAUUAAAUGAAAGCUUAAACAUUCCCACUGGGCCGAGUGUGUUCGUAGGUGUGAUGUGAAACGGUUCUGCCUAGACGCAGCCUUACAGUAGCGCGGCUGAUGUGUAACCGAACGAACGAACGGGCGCGUAAACUAAUCUCUUCUACGUAAUCCAUUGUAGACUAGGUCUUUUUAAAACCAUUUUUAAUACACUCUGGUUGUCCACAUAUAACAUUUAAGCGAGUGGCUCGUCUGGACCUCUCAGAUCCGUGAUCACAGACAUGAUUCUAGGACAUCUUCUCCCAAGACAGAUUCGAAAGGACAAACUGAAAAUGUAGUGAAUUUCACGUCCCUCUCUCACUUAAACACACUCCGUGGCAGACUUGAUAUGGAGAGAUGUCCUUCUCAGUUUUAGAUUAAGAGAUGCCUUCAGUUGUGUGUUAUAGAUGUUUCUCUGCUCUCUGCAGUACGUGUGUAUGAUUUGCCGAUAUACAGCACCGAUGUUGAGUGCCUGUGAGUGAGGACCGUUGUGUGUGUGUGUUUGAUUUGAAUCGCUCUUUCUGCUUUUACUGUGUAAAAUAUUGUGCAAUAUGUCUGCAGACUGUCUUUUAAAAGCGGAGAGAAGAACUGAGAACAGAAGAACAGUAAAAUUGACCUUUGUAUAUGCUGUUCUUACAACUAAUUUCCAUGUGAAGCGGCUUACAGAUUCUUUCUGGGAUUUGUCUUUGUUUUUUUCUUUCCAGUUAAUAAGUAAAACAAUUGGUGUCUUUAAUUAGUCUGCAUUAAAACUGGUCUGGAUUUGGUCUGUGCAGAAAUAAAGAUAAACUGUUUUUGUGUGUUUUCGUUCUCGGAAGAUAGUUCUUUGAACGUUUAAUCUAGUUUGGAUUAACUUCAAUGGAUGUGUUGUUAAUUACUAGCCAGUCUUAAUUUCAGCAGCUGUAUCCUUGAAAGGAUGCAGCCUUUGCGGACCAAAUGAGCCGGAUCCUUGGAGGUCCACAAAGGCUGAACAGAGUGGUCUCUAAAAGGAGGCCGUCUGUCCUAUGCGUGGAUUUCCUGUUUCUCGUGACCAGCUUUUCUUCUGCCUCUUCUGUUGCCUAGCAACCUGCUGUGCUUACAACUCAUAAAAAGCAGCUUGAGAUGGUCAGCCUAUUAUUUAAUUUAUAUAACACGUUGUCCCCCUCCCCCGCCCCCUCUUGGACAAACACACUAGUCGUUUUAUUUCUAUUUUUUAGAAAGUGGUAUUUCAGCUUUAUAACUUGUCUCCUUGAGCUCACUUUGAAGCAGUGACUCCUCCCCCUUUAAACAGGUGGUUAGAGUUUCUGCCCACAUGUAAAUAUUCUAUAUUAAUUUGCAAUAUAAAUAAUACAUGAUAUAUUUUACCAAACCAAUUUAUAAUUGAGACGGCUGAAUCGAAAUGUCCUCUUUUGUUGAAACCAGGAGAACACGUAGGCCAGCAGGUGCACAGCAUGGCGCGAGGCUCCGGACUGUGAGAGUAGAGGAAGCUUCAUAAACAAGUCCCUGAACGCAGCACGAGAGGCGCGCCUCCGCGCACAGCUGAGGUGAGAAGACCAACCGAUGAUCUUCAGCUUCAACUCAAGUGUGGACGGAAGAAAACAAGAGGCACAGCUCGGAGAUGGUUGAGCCAGAUGUGACACGGCAGCUGUUACACGCUGUUCACCUGAGGAAUGGAUCAAUUGUGUCUGCCACUCAUCCCUCUCUCACAGAGAACUCCUUCACCAGCAGCAGUGGAAUAAUCCCCGGUGCAAUUGCAGCCACGGUGUUCAUUGCCCUUUUGCUCGCUCUGUACGCCGUCCUCUGGAAGUGCCUGGUGUCACCGCCUCUACGGAAACGCAGCAAAGUGAGGGUGAGGGUGAGAGUGAAACCGAGGACGUCUGUGUGAAGAACGCUUCUCCACCUAAACUUUGGACUAAAAUCUUGAGGGCAGAAUGAGAGAAGUGACAAAAUGCCACCAAGGAAGUUCGUCCCCAUGAUGCAGACAUCAAAGUUGAGUGUUUCCCCCUCAGCUGCACAGGCUGCUGUGACCCGCUGGUCACCACCGGCUGCUCUUCUUCUGUGGACUGUGCGCUACCGAGGGAACCUCGAGAUGAGCAGCUACUGUAGAACUCUACAAAUGUGUUUCUGUUGUCUGCAUUGAAAUCCACUCAGGAUGGUAUAUCUGCUCGUAGACAUCGUGAAAACACAUCUAGUGCAAUGGGACAGAGAACAUAUUCAUGUGACUGUCAAUUAGGAAUCAAACGUGUGAGCACAAAGUAGUUUAUGUUGCAUUGCAACCUUAAAGGGAAACGUGGAGUAGUCUCUCUGCUCCGGGGCUUCUCUGAGCCAAUCUUGCUGCUCGUAGGAACCCGGGUGACUCAACCAAGUCAGAGUGCUUUUAAGAGGAAAUUCAUCAGAAAACCCUUGAGGCAGAGAUGCUACUGAUGCUAAUCAAGAUGCCAAUCAUUGGACUUGUCCGUGCACAUUUUUGAUAAUGGUUUGGGUGGCACUGAGCCAAGGCUUCUGGUGCAGUAACACAGAUUUAAUCUUUAGUUUACACUUCCUGUGAUAUUACUUUGAGAGAUUAACAAGGAUCAUUUUUGCAGUUAAAU